rnacentral:tRNA from 1 species
GCCGGUGUGGUGGAAUAGGUAGACACAAGGGACUUAAAAUCCCUCGAUAUGUGAAUGUCGUAUCGGUUCAAGUCCGAUCACCGGUACCA